rnacentral:rRNA from 1 species
AUUGAACGCUGGCGGCAUGCUUUACACAUGCAAGUCGAACGGUAACAGGCCUUCGGGCGCUGACGAGUGGCGAACGGGUGAGUAAUGCAUCGGAACGUGCCCAGUCGUGGGGGAUAACGCAGCGAAAGCUGUGCUAAUACCGCAUACGAUCUAUGGAUGAAAGCGGGGGACCGUAAGGUCUCGCGCGAUUGGAGCGGCCGAUGUCAGAUUAGGUAGUUGGUGGGGUAAAGGCUCACCAAGCCAACGAUCUGUAGCUGGUCUGAGAGGACGACCAGCAACACUGGAACUGGGACACGGUCCAGACUCCUACGGGAGGCAGCAGUGGGGAAUUUUGGACAAUGGGCGCAAGCCUGAUCCAGCAAUGCCGCGUGCAGGAAGAAGGCCUUCGGGUUGUAAACUGCUUUUGCACGGAACGAAACGGCGAGCUCUAAUACAGUUUGCUAAUGACGGUACCGUAAGAAUAAGCACCGGCUAACUACGUGCCAGCCGCCGCCGUAA